rnacentral:pre_miRNA from 10 species
ACGAGGACAGACGUGGUGCCCAGCUCCCUCUGGAAGACUAGUGAUUUUGUUGUUGUAUGGCUCAUCCCACCACAACAAGUCACAGUCUGCCCUAGGGUGCGUGGCCUCUCCAGCGAUGCUGAAG